GAUGAACGCUGGCGGCGUGCCUAAUACAUGCAAGUCGAGCGAACAGACGAGGAGCUUGCUCCUCUGACGUUAGCGGCGGACGGGUGAGUAACACGUGGAUAACCUACCUAUAAGACUGGGAUAACUUCGGGAAACCGGAGCUAAUACCGGAUAAUAUAUUGAACCGCAUGGUUCAAUAGUGAAAGACGGUUUUGCUGUCACUUAUAGAUGGAUCCGCGCCGCAUUAGCUAGUUGGUAAGGUAACGGCUUACCAAGGCAACGAUGCGUAGCCGACCUGAGAGGGUGAUCGGCCACACUGGAACUGAGACACGGUCCAGACUCCUACGGGAGGCAGCAGUAGGGAAUCUUCCGCAAAGGGCGAAAGCCUGACGGAGCAACGCCGCGUGAGUGAUGAAGGUCUUCGGAUCGUAAAACUCUGUUAUUAGGGAAGAACAAAUGUGUAAGUAACUCUGCACGUCCUGACGGUACCUAAUCAGAAAGCCACGGCUAACUACGUG
rnacentral:rRNA from 1 species